UCAAGCUACUAAGAGCUUACGUGUGGAUGACUUGGCACGAGAAGGCGAUGAAGGACGCGGUAAGCGGCGAUACGCUUCGGGGAGUCGCAAACAGACUUUGAUCCGAGGACAUCCGAAUGGGGAAACCCUUAGCGGGUUAUACCGCUAAAUCCUGCACUGAAUACAUAGGUGCUGGAAGCGAAACCGGGAGAAGUGAAACAUCUCAGUAACCCGAGGAAAAGAGAAAGACAUUGAUUGUCCUAGUAGCGGCGAGCGAACGGGCAACAGCCUAAACCAGCGGUACUUGUAUCGCUGGGGUUGCGGGACCACAAUGUGGGAUUGUCGAGGGAUAGCAGAAUGAGCUGGAAAGCUCUGUCGUAGAAGGUGAUAGCCCUGUAUGCGAAAUUCCAAGACACCCUAGUGGUAUCCCAAGUAAUGCUGGACACGUGAAACCCAGUAUGAAUCCGGCCUGACCACGGGCCAAGGCUAAAUACUAUCUCGUGACCGAUAGUGCACAAGUACCAUGAGGGAAAGUUGAAAAGAACCCCUGUAAGGGGAGUGAAAUAGUACCUGAAACCGUAAGCUUACAAGCGGUGGGAGCUCUAUGCAUGCCUUCGGGCAUGAACGAGUGACCGCGUGCCUUUUGGUUAAUGAUCCGGCGAGUUGCUGGGCGCAGCGAGGUUAAGGCGUUUUACGCCGUAGCCGUAGCGAAAGCGAGUCCUAAUAGGGCGAUUUAGUUGCGUCAAGCAGACCCGAAUGCCAGGUGAUCUACUCAUGGCCAGUGCGAAAGUUGGGUAAAACCAGCUGGAGGUACGAACCCGUAAACGUUGAAAAGUUUUGGGAUGAGCUGUGAGUCGGAGUGAAAGGCUAAUCAAACUUGGUUAUUGCUGGUUCUCCCCGAAAUAGCUUUAGGGCUAGCCUCGUGUCAUAGUCAUUGGAGGUAAAGUACUCGAUGGGCUAAGAGCCUUACCGGGUUUCUGAACCCAACGAAACUCUGAAUGCCAAUGACCGUAUCACGGGAGUCAGAAAGUGCGGGCUAAGCUGCAUUCUCGAAAGGAAAACAGUCCAGACCGACAGCUAAGGUUCCAAAAUUCAUGCUAAGUGGUAAAGGAUGUGAGAUUUCUCAGACAACCAGGAUGUUGGCUCAGAGGCAGCCAUCAUUUAAAGAGUGCGUAACAGCUCACUGGUCGAGUGGUCUCGCGCCGAAAAUAAUCGGAGCUAAGCAUGGUACCGAAGCUUCGGAUUGUCAUACACCUCCGGGUGUAUACAGUGGUAGGGGAGCGUUCUAUUGUACAGUGAAGGCAGACUGAUAAGACUGCUGGAGGAACUAGAAGUGAUUAUGCCGGAAUAAGUAGCGCAAAAAUACGCGAGAAACGUAUUCGCCGUAAACCUAAGGUUUCCUGGGGAAGGUUAAUCCACCCAGGGUUAGUCGAUCCUAAGCCGAGGCCGAAAGGCGUAGGUGAUGGACAAUCUGUUUAAUAUUCAGAUACCACUCAUUGCGCGUUACCAGUUAUGGAGUGACGCAGGAGGUAGAAUCAGCGACCGGUUGGAUGUGGUCGUCUAAGCCUGUAAGUCUUAACAGACCGAGAGGUGAAUGGGAGCCCAAUCUACGGAGCGGGUGAACUGAUUUGGGCCACACUGCCGAGAAAAGCCUCUAUAGCGAGUUCAAUGAGUGAUCGUACCGCAAACCGACACAGGUAGGUGGGGAGAAUAUCCUCAGGCGCUCGAAAUAACUCUCGUUAAGGAACUAGGCAAAAUAGCCCCGUAACUUCGGAAGAAGGGGUGCUCCAUUAGCGUAAAGUAUGUACAUAUGUAGCGCGAAGGAGUGACACUAAAGUGGGUUCUGUGACUGUUUAGCAAAAACACAUGGCUCUGCUAACUCGCAAGAGGAUGUAUAGGGCCUGAUACCUGCCCGGUGCUGGAAGGUUAAAAGGAGGAGUCAACUGGUCGUAAGGCCGGCGAAGCCCUGACUUGAAGCCCCAGUAAACGGCGGCCGUAACUAUAACGGUCCUAAGGUAGCGAAAUUCCUUGUCGGGUAAGUUCCGACCUGCACGAAUGGUAUAGCAACAGAACCGCUGUCUCAACGAGAGAGUCGGCGAAAUUGUAGCAUCGGUGAAGAUGCCGGUUACCUGCAUCAAGACGAAAAGACCCCGGAACCUUUACUGUAUCCUGGUACUGGAUUUUGAUUUUGUAUGUGUAGCAUAGGUGGGACGCUUUGAAGCUUUGGCGCUAGCCAGAGUGGAGCGGAAAUGUGAAAUACCACCCUUACCAAAUUAGGAUUCUAACCUACGGCCGUGAAACCGGCCGGGGAACAAUGCCAGGCGGGCAGUUUGACUGGGGCGGUUACCUCCUAAAUUGUAACGGAGGCGUACAAAGGUGCUCUCAGUGCGGACGGCAAUCGCACGGUGAGUGUAAAGGCAGAAGAGCGCUUAACUGUGAGACAUACAAGUCGAGCAGAUACGAAAGUAGGUCUUAGUGAUCCGGUGAUGGCGUGUGGAAGCGUCAUCGCUCAACGGAUAAAAGGUACUCCGGGGAUAACAGGCUGAUCGGGUCCAAGAGUUCACAUCGACGACCCGGUUUGGCACCUCGAUGUCGGCUCAUCACAUCCUGGGGGUGGAGAAGCUCCCAAGGGUCCGGCUGUUCGCCGGUUAAAGUGGUACGUGAGCUGGGUUCAGAACGUCGUAAGACAGUUCGGUCUCUAUCUGAUGCAGGCGCAGGAUAUUUGAGGAGGGCCAUUCCUAGUACGAGAGGACCGGAAUGGACGAACCGACGGUGUUCCAGUUGUCACGCCAGUGGCAAUGGCUGGGUAGCCGCGUUCGGAAAGGAUAAGUGCUGAAGGCAUCUAAGCACGAAGCCCGCUCCAAGAAUAGAUAUCCCUGAAGACGCCUUGGAGACUACAAGGUUGAUAGGAGCUAUGUGUACGAGCCGUGAGGCUUUUAGCUUAAGCUUACUAAUCCGUCGUCUGGCUUGACCU
rnacentral:rRNA from 1 species